rnacentral:rRNA from 1 species
UACGAGUGCCCUAAGCGUUAUCCGGAAUCAUUGGGCGUAAAGGGUGUGUAGGUGGUCGGGUUAGUCUUCUGUUAAAUUCUUCGGCUCAACCGGGGGCUUGCAGGGGAAACGGCACGACUAGAGGAUGCGAGAGGCAUGUGGAACUCAUGGAGUAGGGGUGAAAUCCGUUGAUAUCAUGGGGAACACCGAAAGCGAAGGCAACAUGCUGGCGCACUCCUGACACUGAAACACGAAAGCGUAGGUAGCGAAUGGG